rnacentral:rRNA from 1 species
AAGGGCGCACGGUGGAUGCCUUGACACUAGGAGUCGAUGAAGGACGGGACUAACGCCGAUAUGCUUCGGGGAGCUGUAAGUAAGCUUUGAUCCGAAGAUUUCCGAAUGGGGAAACCCACCAUACGUAAUGGUAUGGUAUCCUUAUCUGAAUACAUAGGGUAAGGAAGACAGACCCAGGGAACUGAAACAUCUAAGUACCUGGAGGAAGAGAAAGCAAAUGCGAUUUCCUGAGUAGCGGCGAGCGAAACGGAACAUAGCCCAAACCAAGAGGCUUGCCUCUUGGGGUUGUAGGACAUUCUAUACGGAGUUACAAAGGAACGAGGUAGACGAAGCGACCUGGAAAGGUCCGUCGUAGAGGGUAACAACCCCGUAGUCGAAACUUCGUUCUCUCUUGAAUGUAUCCUGAGUACGGCGGAACACGUGAAAUUCCGUCGGAAUCUGGGAGGACCAUCUCCCAAGGCUAAAUACUCCCUAGUGAUCGAUAGUGAACCAGUACCGUGAGGGAAAGGUGAAAAGCACCCCGGAAGGGGAGUGAAAGAGAUCCUGAAACCGUGUGCCUACAAAUAGUCAGAGCCCGUUAACGGGUGAUGGCGUGCCUUUUGUAGAAUGAAC